AGAAUCAACGCUGGCGGCGUGCCUAACACAUGCAAGUCGAACGCGAAAGGGGAGCAAUCCCUGAGUAGAGUGGCAAACGGGUGAGUAACACGUGGGUGACCUGCCUUCGAGUGGGGGAUAACGUCCCGAAAGGGACGCUAAUACCGCAUGACAUCCUGCUCUUGGACGAGCGGAGAUCAAAGCUGGGGAUUCGCAAGAACCUGGCGCUUGGAGAGGGGCCCGCGCCUGAUUAGCUAGUUGGUGAGGUAACGGCUCACCAAGGCUACGAUCAGUA
rnacentral:rRNA from 1 species